rnacentral:misc_RNA from 1 species
AAUUCUCAACUCCUCUCAGAUUCCAUCUGUAGGGUGAGCUUGGAAUUGGAGGUUUCUGCUGGCGUUCGCCGGCUCCUCUUGAAAUCAUUAGCUUUGAGUUGAUCUUGACGGCUUGACCGGUGUGAUAAACAUCUACGCCGAUUCACGCCGUCCUGAGCGACGACGUCGGAGACGCUCUGGCUUAUAACCGUCUUCACCGAGGGACAACGCCCUGAAC